GGGGGCAACCCUGAUCCAGCAAUGCCGCGUGCAGGAAGAAGGCCUUCGGGUUGUAAACUGCUUUUGUUCAGGGAAGAAAUCCUCUGGGUUAAUACCUCGGGGGGAGUGACGGUACCUGAAGAAUAAGCACCGGCUAACUACGUGCCAGCAGCCGCGGUAAUACGUAGGGUGCGAGCGUUAAUCGGAAUUACUGGGCGUAAAGCGUGCGCAGGCGGCUUUGCAAGACAGAUGUGAAAUCCCCGGGCUCAACCUGGGAACUGCAUUUUGUGACUGCAAGGCUAGAGUACGGCAGAGGGGGAUGGAAUUCCGCGUGUAGCAGUGAAAUGCGUAGAUAUGCGGAGGAACACCGAUGGCGAAGGCAAUCCCCCUGGGCCUGUACUGACGCUCAUGCACGAAAGCGUGGGGAGCAAACAGGAUUAGAUACCCUGGUAGUCCACGCCCUAAACGAUGUCAACUGGUUGUUGGACGGCUUGCUGUUCAGUAACGAAGCUAACGCGUGAAGUUGACCGCCUGGGGAGUACGG
rnacentral:rRNA from 1 species